rnacentral:rRNA from 1 species
CAGUCGCCGCGGUAAAACGGAGGGGGCUAGCGUUGUUCGGAAUUACUGGGCGUAAAGCGUACGUAGGCGGCUUUGUAAGUUAGAGGUGAAAGCCUGGAGCUCAACUCCAGAAUUGCCUUUAAGACCGCAUCGCUUGAACGUCGGAGAGGUGAGUGGAAUUCCGAGUGUAGAGGUGAAAUUCGUAGAUAUUCGGAAGAACACCAGUGGCGAAGACGGCUCACUGGACGACUGUUGACGCUGAGGUACGAAAGCGUGGGGAGCAAACAGGAUUAGAUACCCCUGUAGUCCCUGUCUCUUAUAC